rnacentral:misc_RNA from 1 species
CUGAAGGGACUAGUGCCUUACGACUUUGGUCCAUUAAGCCUGUUGUGCUCGAAACUUUCCAUGGGAAAAGUAGAAAAGGGACCAUCAACUGGAAUUGUUCCACAGAGAUCAUUAUCAGAUACAUCAAAAACUUUGAGGUCUUUGAGGGUGGUGAGCUCCCUUGGAAUAGAUCCAGUUAGCUUGUUGUUGUUUAGCCGUAGGAAUUUGAGUGACUUCAACUUGGCCAAGGACUUGGGUAUUUCUCCUUCAAAUUUGUUGUCAUACAUAUCCAUGCUCACAAGAUUUUUUAACUUACCCAACUCCUUAGGAAUUUUCCCUCCUAUGUUAUUCCUAUAAAGCUCCAAGUA